rnacentral:rRNA from 1 species
CAGCCGCCGCGGUAAUACCGGCGGCCCGAGUGGCGGCAACUAUUAUUGGGCUUAAAGCGUCCGUAGCCGGGUUGGUUAGUCUCCCGGGAAAUCUGGCCGCUUAACGGUCAGAAUUCCGGGAGAUACUGCCAGCCUAGGGACCGGGAGAGGCCGAGGGUAUUCCCGGAGUAGGGGUGAAAUCCUAUAAUCCCGGGAGGACCACCUGUGGCGAAGGCGCUCGGCUGGAACGGGUCCGACGGUGAGGGACGAAGGCCAGGGGAGCAAACCGGAUUAGAUACCCGGGUAGUCCUGGCUGUAAACGAUGCGGACUUUGUGUCGGACAAGCUAUGAGCUUGUCCGGUGCCGGAGGGAAACCGUGAAGUCCGCCGCCUGGGGGGUACGGCCGCAAGGCUGAAACUUAAGGAAUUGGCGGU